GGUGGCCUAAGUGGUUAGAGCGCCAGCCUCAGGUGUUGGAUGUCGCUGGUUCGAACGCCGGCCAAGUCA